rnacentral:lncRNA from 1 species
ACAGUGUUGGGCAUGUACUUAAUGCUCAAGACAUGUUCAAUUGAAAACAAGUAAUUUUAUUUAAAACAAAUAAUAAACAGCAUAUAGGACAUGGAAGGAUAAAAUAACAGUUAAUAUGUACCAGAGAGAAAGAACACAGGGGGAGGGGAUGAAACAAUCGGGCGGGGUCUCGGGUUCCGGCGAUGGAACUAAGGGUGAUUGUACAAGGAGCUCUCCCUGCAGGGCUGUGGACUCUGAAUGUGGCUCUGGGAGCCCUGCAGGAGCAGGAAUAGGGGCAGGGCUCAGGAUAGGGGCAGGGACAGGGGCAGGGACAGAGGUAAGAGCAGGGGCAGGGGCAGAGGCAAGGGGAGGGACAGGGUCAGCAGUAGUGGCAGGUGCAGGAUCCAGGGCAGGAGCAGGGACAGGAUCUGGGUCAGGGGGAGGAACAGGACCACUGGCAGGGGAAGGGGCAGUGGCUCUGGCAGGAGUACGGACAGGGGCAGGAGCAAGGGUAGGAUCUGGGUCAGGGACAGUGGCUCUGGCAGGGACAGGAGCAGGAGCAGGGGCAGGGGCAGGGGCAGGAACAGGAACAAGAGCGCAGACAGGGGCAGGAACAAGAGCACAGGCAGGGGCAGAGGCAGGGGUAAGGGAAGGGGCAGGAGCAGGGUCAGGAUCUGGGUGCGAGGCAGGGGCAGGGGCUGGGGUGGGGGAAGGGGGAGUGGCAGGAACUGCAGCAGGGGCAGGGGCAGGAGCAGGUGCCAGUUCUUCCUGGACAGCACCAGGCUCUCCGUGGGCAGGUGCCGGGUCACCUGCCGGCUCCUGGUCUCCUCCUGAAGUCACUGCAGGCACCAGCCCUCCCUCCAGAUCGGGCUCUAGCUCCUCAGGUGGUGGAGCAGCUGUGAGAGGAGAAAAGCUCACCCCCGUGCCUGCUCUCCGUGGGCCUUUGCAGAGACAGAGCCCAGCCCAGGGCCUCCCAGAGAAGCCACAGCCGGGAAGGAACCCUCACGGGGAUGUGUCCCCAGCUGCAGUCCACCCGCUGGGUGCUCUGUGCCCAGUCGUUGCUCCUGGCCCCACACCAGCCUCUGGGGGCUCCUCCCUGUGGGGCCGCACCGACCCGUCCCCACACACCACAAACACCCAGCCCCACCCUUCUCACCCUCGGCCUCGGCCUCCAUGGGCUCCGGCUCCUGGACCACUGUCCAGUGGACGACCACCUGGGACUGUGGUCCGCGUGGUGUCGGAGGUCUUGCCCGGCAACCCCCAGCACCUGUUUCUUGGGAUGCCUUUGGGGUCACCCCCUCUGUCAGGGAGGAGGGCACGUCCGCCAGUUGCUUCUCCAUGUCCUCUGUGGCCUUCUGCAAAGACAGGGACCGGUAGCCGGCCCCGAGGCAUCACAGCCCUGCCCGGCCAUCCGCACUGUCCUCCUGCCCAGUCCCCCUGCUGCUCCCAGAUCAGACACACACCUGUGCGCGCACAGCCCUGCACCCGGGAUGCAGUGACCCAUCCCUGCAGGGCUAUCGGGAUAAACCUUGGGCAGAAGGGGCAGCGCCCGCACACCCCAUCCCACCCAGCCAGCCUUGACCUUGAACAUGACCUGCCCACUGGGUAUCUGACCCCUCAACAGCCUGCUUCUGCUCGGGGUGUCCCCACCCCCAUGACCCCUCUUUACACACAGACACACACACGCACACUCACACACACGCACACACUCGCACACACACGCGCACACACACACACACACACACACACAGGGAAGGCACCUGGGGCUACACAGGUCAUCAGAGCAAGUGGGGCUGGGUGGCCGGCUCUGGGCCUCCUGGUGUCACCUUUCUGUCCUUCCGACCAAAUGGCCAGAGGCGGUGGGGAGCCCUGACAUGAAAUCCCCAGCAGGGGACAGCGCCCUCAAGGCGCGCCUUCUUCCACCUGCAGCCUCGGGACCUCGGCAGGCAACACGUGAACAUUUUGCCAUUAAGAUCUCCAAUGAAAU